AAAAGAAGACACGUUGAUUAUCAGGAACCAGUCUGAGGAACGUUUCCUAGAGACGUUUCUGAAAGUGUUUGAAGGUUUGGAUCUGAGACGAUUCAUUUAGUUCCUCCUGCUGAACAGAACUUUUCUAGUUUCUGAGAACCAGUAAAAGAGUCCUCAUGCUGCUGGUUUAUGUGAGUCGCUGCAGACCAACAAAAUGUUCAGAGUUAUGUCACCUGACUCAGAAACUAGCUGAUGGUAGACACAACACAAACAAGACACAAAAUGACAAAUGGGAUACAAAUUAGAAACAAAAGGACGAAAAACGGACACAGAGCAACAAAAAAUGCAUCGAUUUAUGUCUUGCAUUUGUAAUUUUGUCUCUUGUUUGUGUCACUUUGGGUCCUAUUUUUGUUUUUUUGUGUCUUGAUUAUAUCAUUUUGUGUCUCGUGUGUGUUAUUUUGGGUCCUGACAAGACAAAAAACGACAAAAUCAAAACACAAAAUGACAAAAAUAAGACAAAACUAUGCAAAUAAGACACAAAAUAAGUGACACAAAAUGACAGAAAUUGUGUCAUUUUGUGUCUUGUUUUUGACAUUUCCUCUCUCGUUUUUGCCAUUUUAGCUCCUAACAAGACACAAAGCACCACAAACAAGACAUAAAAUGAAACAAACACGACAUAAACCACCAAAAUGGAGACACAGCGUGACCACAAAGACACAUUUCUGAGUCUCUCUUCUUCAUUCUGUUUCCAGGACUUUAUGUUGCAGAGAAAAAUGAGGCAGAAGCUGCUGUUUGACUCCAGAAAAUUAAAUAAUUUCCUUCACUGUUAAACAGAAACUCUGGUUGUGGCAGCUUUAAGUGCUGUGAUUUAGUCCGUUCUUAAAUAAACUGUUAUGAAGGAAGAACGGAUGUUUAAUCUGAGUUUGAUCUCAGAUUAAACAGACUCUUAUCUCAGACGGCGGGAACAAAGAUCAAGUGUUUCCUGAAAACUGAAGGAAGUUGAAGGAGGGAAAUAAAAUGAGUUCAAGUGUAAAUAUGAGGCUGAAUAUCUGCUGAAUCUGCAAUUAAAAUUCUCCUUCAGAGUUUAAAGCAGGGGCAGCUGGUCAAUAGAGGGCGCUAGGGCGCCGCCCCCUCUGUGUCACAUCAUGUAGAGUCACAGCCCUUCCUUUUAUAAAACGUUUUUAAAAUUACAUUUACAUAUAUAUCCUAUGUUUUUAACAACCAAAAUGGAUAAUAGAGCCUGUAGAGAGUUACUAAGAUGUAUAAUUUGUAAUAAAAGGUCAGAUUAGAAACGUCCGGGUGCACUCAUCUUUCCCCAUUGACUCUCGUCAUAACUCUGACAUGCGCAGUUCGUUCCUCUUCAAUACAAGAGACAGCAGACCGCGGGGCGCAGGCUGACCGCGCCCUGCUGAGCGAUUGUAACGGAGUUCUUUUUUUUUUUUUUCAAAUUCUUAUUUUCAUUUCCUGUUUAUUGCUGUUAUUUUGAAUAUAUUUAAAUUUUAUCUCAAUGAGUUCUUGCCAAUGAGUAUUUGCCAUUAUUUUUACUGAUUUUGUAAAUAUGAAUUGCCUUUUUGCACCCUGCUCUGUUUGUGCCUCCUGGGCUUCUGUAGCGCCUCUGGGGCUUCCGUAGCUUCUAUGUCCCACACAGUCGUUGUUGACCUGCUGUGGGUAAGUCACAGGAUAAUUAGCUGCUGUGAUUUCGUGUUGGUUUCUUUAUAUAUUUAGCGUUUUAUGUUGCAGUCUUCGGUGAAUAUUAUUUAUCAUUGUGUAUUACUUUAAUGUCGAGCUGUAUUGUGUUCUUCUGACCAUUAUUUGAGGUUUUACAGAUGAUUUUGGUUGUGCUGUUUUGGCGCGAGUUGUCAGUGAGGACGUGUGCUCUGUCUAAUGCAGCACAGCUCGGGUGUUCAUUGUUCUUUGUGUAUAUGUUUAGAAGCGGCGUGCAGAAGGACAGUUCAGCAGAAGACAGUCACACGUAUUCCUUUCUUCUGCAGGUAUGUGUUUUAUUUAUAAGUUAUACAUUUUAUUUCCAGUCAGUCACCCCACCCCGAAACACUGUGCUAAUGUGGCCACCAGGUGGCAUUGUUUUUCACUUUGUGUUUGAUUUAGUUUCAUUGUUGUAAAAUUUUGUAUUGAAAAUGUAUGUUUUGGAUGUAUCUGACACAGUCGUUGUUGAGCUGCUGUGGAAGCGGCGUGCAGAAGGACAGUUCAGCAGAAGACAGUCACACGUAUUCCUUUCUUCUGCAGAAUAAAGUGUGAAGAAAAUUCAGCUGGGCUACUUCCAUGAUCUUGACCACACACACAUAAACAUCGGUUACACGAUCAGAGCGAUCAGAGGGAGACAGCCGGUCUCCCUCUGAUCGGUUUACACACCACCGGCCAUGGGGUGGCAGCAGAGAGCGAGCGGUUUGUUCAUCCGCUUGCCUUUAAUUAAAACUUGCAUAAAAUAAAAAAUAACACCGAUGUAGAGGUGCUGGCUUCAGUCUCUAAAAUGUGAGGAUUUACUUUUUUGUCAUUUAAUAAUGUAAAUAGAAAUGUUAGUUGACACAAGUGGCACUUUAGACUGAAAGUCUGUUGAUUUUCACAUGUUCUGAAAUCUGAGGAAUUACUGUUUUUCUUUAUUUUCAUUGUAAAUAUUUAAUGUUAGUUGACAGAAGCACUUUGGGCUCUAAGAUAAGAUAAGAAGGUUUUAUUUGUCACGUGCACAGUUAUACAGAGUAUAAUGCCUCAUGGUUUCACUAUUUUUUAUUGCUUUGAUCUUAAAUCUGCAGAUUUGCUGUUUUCUCAUUGUAAUGUAAGGUUGUUCAUGUAAAAGUUAGCUCACAGAAGCACUGUCUGCUUUAAGCCUUAUAGUUAGUUUUUUUUAACAAAAUGUCCAAUGUUUGUUGGUUUCACAGGUAUGGAUUUGUUUUUGUUUAUUUGAGUAUGUAAAUAUAAAUAUGUUGUUGACAGAAGAAGCACUUGGCCUCUUUGAAGCUGGAAAUUGUUUCUUUUUUUUAACUUUUGAACUAAAAAAUAGAUUUGCGUAUUUAUACAUUCUUAAUUUGUUUAAUUAUAGAAAAGUAGAUUUUAAGGGUGUGUGUACCAAUUACAGCUUAUCUGGAGCAAAUCAUAUCAAACACUGGGGAGAUAAAUUCACAUUCACCAGCUGCUAACAUUUAUGUGCAUUUAAUUGUCUGUUUGACUCAGCAGUAGUGCUUAGUGUACCCUCGUAGCUCAUCAAAUGGCUGUGAACAUAAUUUACAUCAAUCCUUGUAUUCCGGUGUUGCUGACUCUGCUGUUUGUUUUGGUAAAUUAAGUGCGCCCCCCCAAGAGAAAACUUCACCAGCCGCCACUGGUUUAAAGUUUGGAUCAGGAUGAAUGUUAACAGAUCAAGACUCACCAGCUGGUGUUUCUGCGUCUCCUUCAGUGUUUCUGGUUGAAUUAAAUCCUUCAGGUCUCUACAGCAGCAGCAGCAGCAGGAUGAUCUGUGACCUACUGAUGGAGUUGAGCUUCUCUUUCUGUUUCUGAUGGUGGUAAAAGCUCCCCUCCCUCCUCUCUCCACGCCUCCUCCUCUGUUUCUGCCUGAACGUCUCGUAAACGCUGUGAAGUCGUGACUUUUUACCGUCCCUAAAUGAAGCAGAGACACUUCUCCCCUUUCACAGUUUAUUGAUGAAACCAUGUUGUGGAAACUGAGGCGGUAAAAUUUACGGCAGCCUCGCGAGCGUUUGAACACAACUGAUGCCAGACGUGCUUUAUUACGGCGUGUACGUUUUACUGUUCAUCUCCUCCGACAUGCAACAUCUCAACAAACGUUAUGAGAACAUUUAAAGCGGUUAAUAAGAUUUUAAUGAAACACGGAUGUUGGUCGACUUCUGAAAAUGACAAAAUGACACCAAAUAUCUGUGAAAAAAUAGAAAAAAAUGUGUUUUUUUUGGUUUUACAACAAUUCCUGAAGUCAUCAUCUGACAUAAAAUGACAAAAAUGAGAUAGAACAUGACAAAAAUGAGACAAAAAACGACAAAACAAGGCACAAAAUGACAAAAAUAAUCCAAGAAAUGACAAAAACAAGAAGCAAAAUGACAAAAAGAAGAAACAAAACAACAGAAACAAGACAAAAAUGACAAAACAAGGCACAAAAUGACAAAAACAAGAUACAAAACAACAAAAAUGAGACCUAAAAUUACAAAAACCAGGCACAAAACUAAUAAAACAACACACAAAAUGACAAAAACAAGAGGCAAAAUGACAAAAAGAAGAAACAAAACCGCAAAAAUGAGACAGAUGACAAGAACAAGACAGAAAACGACAAAACAAGACAGCAGUUAGCUUUAUAAACAUUCAUGCUCCUCAGCAGUGGAUUUGUAGUAGGAUCAGAAUCAUCAUGUAGUGUUCAGUUGUACUCAAAAUAACUUAAAACAUGUCCUAAAUGACCAAAAUGUGUCCCAAAUGAUUUGAAUCUUGUCCAGCAUGACUGAAGAUUGUCCAUAAUAACUAGAAAUGUGUCCAAAAUCAGCCAAAAAUGGUCAGUAUGGCUCAAAUAAUGUCCAAAAUAACUUGAAAAAAUGUCCUAAAAGACAUAAAAAUUGCAAAAUGACUUGAGAAUUUUCCAAAAAUGACUCAAAGAUUUCCAAAAUUGAUUCAAAAAAUGAUAUAGGAUUGACUUGAAAUGAUUUGAAACUUGUCCACAAUGAUUUGGUUGUGAAUCAAACCCCAGAUGUUGCCAGAUGCUCUCCAUGUUGUUCUCAUCAUGCCGAGGUCUAAACUUCUGUCAGUGUGUUUAAUUCAUGAGUGGAACAUGUCAGUGGCAGCACAUCUGCAGCACAUGUGUGUCAGUCUGUGUUCAGUCUAACCCUUGACUCUGUGUGUGUUAUCUGAGUGGAGAUACGAGCUAUCUGAGUGUGUGUGUGUGUGUGUGCUGUUUACUCGUUGCAGAGAUAAACACAUGAAGAAGCUGUACGUGACUUUCUCCAUGCAGCCUGACAGCAGCUCUCACUCAUCCUCAUCACUGUGUCUCCUCCUGCUGCUACUAGAAGAGGAAAAGAUGUUCCUGAAAGCAGAAACAUGCCUCACAGACCACCGACUCUUUGUGUUAUUAGUCUCCACCAGUGGAAGAAAACGCGGUUUGAUUCUCACUUUUCUCUUCAAAAGCGCCGCUGGUUCAUGGACAAAUUACCCCCCAAACUAAUUAGAAAGAGAAGAACAAACGAGCCGAAUUCAAAGAGCAAAUCAAACCCAGAUCCUUUACAGAAAGGAAACGGCUCCUCUGUCUGAUUUCCAGCCUGAAGAAACAUUUAUUAGGACGACUUUGAAGAGCAGAAACAUCCAGAACCGCGGCGUCAGUUUCCAUCCAGCUGUGGUGACAUUUAAUGGAACAAACUGAGAGACCACAGAGCAGGGUCAGAGUGGGACUCGUUUUCAGCCUCAGACCGGCCCGCUGCAGAUCACGACCUAUUGCUAUUAAAGUCAUGUAAUUCUAGCCUUGUCUUGUAAUUCAGUGUUUUUCUAAAAUGUUUCCAAUCCAGUGCUAGUAAGGGUUGCUUCACAGUGAGGAUUUAUUCCAACAUGAGUGCACAUCUCCAACAUUAUUCUUUACAACAAUAUCAUAAUCUGUAUUCUGUUCAAAUGAGUGUUCACGCAUAUCCAAACCUUAAAAAUGAAAUAAAAAUAUUAAAUUUAAAAACUAAAAUAAAAGGUGUGGCACUUUCUAAUAACACCAUCAUCUCUUUUUCCUCUGCAAGGAAACCGUUCCAUCACAACUUAAAUUUCACAAAUCAGUUAAAGGACUGAUCUCCAACACUGUUCUUUACAACAUCACAAUGUCCUUUUUGCAAUAUCAGAUAUCAAGCAAAUUAGUGUUCACAGAUAUCUAAUCCUCACGAAUAAAGAAUAAUUAUUGA